rnacentral:ncRNA from 1 species
AAAGGGAAUGCCGAAAACCUUUAACAAAGUAGACA